rnacentral:rRNA from 1 species
CAAUAGCGUAUAUUAAAGUUGUUGCGGUUAAAAAGCUCGUAGUUGGAUUUCUGCUGAGAACGACCGGUCCGCCCUCUGGGUGUGUAUCUGGCUCUUUCUUGGCAUCUUCUUGGUGAACGUUGCUGCACUUGACUGUGUGGAGCGCUACCCAGGACUUUUACUUUGAGGAAAUUAGAGUGUUUCAAGCAGGCAUACGCCUUGAAUACAUUAGCAUGGAAUAAUAAGAUAGGACCUCGGUUCUAUUUUGUUGGUUUCUAGAGCUGAGGUAAUGAUUAAUAGGGAUAGUUGGGGGCAUUCGUAUUUAACUGUCAGAGGUGAAAUUCUUGGAUUUGUUAAAGACGGACUACUGCGAAGGCAUUUGCCAAGGAUGUUUUCAUUGA